rnacentral:misc_RNA from 1 species
UCCUCUUUACAGAGGCAGUUUCGUCCGAGUCCCCGACUUGACUCGCUGGUAACAGACGAUGAGGGUUGCGCUCGUUGCGGGACUUAACCCAACAUUUCACAACACGAGCUGACGACAGCCAUGCACCACCUGUGCACCACCCUCGGAGGCGACCCCGUUUCGGGGGCUUGCAGGUGCAUGUCAAGCCCUGGUAAGGUUCUUCGCGUUGCAUCGAAUUAAGCCACAUGCUCCACCGCUUGUGCGGGCCCCCGCCAAUUCCUUUGAGUUUCAACCUUGCGGCCGUAGUCCCCAGGCGGCUCACUUAAUGCGUUAGCUGCGGCACCGAAGGUUGCCCCCCGACACCUAGUGAGCAUCGUUUAUAGCUAAGACUAC